rnacentral:rRNA from 1 species
CCUACGGGGCGCAGCAGUGGGGAAUAUUGGACAAUGGGCGAAAGCCUGAUCCAGCCAUGCCGCGUGUGUGAAGAAGGCCUUCGGGUUGUAAAGCACUUUCAGUGGGGAAGAAAGCCUUGGGGCUAAUACCCUCGAGGAAGGACAUCACCCACAGAAGAAGCACCGGCUAACUCCGUGCCAGCAGCCGCGGUAAUACGGAGGGUGCGAGCGUUAAUCGGAAUUACUGGGCGUAAAGCGCGCGUAGGCGGUCUGAUAAGCCGGUUGUGAAAGCCCCGGGCUCAACCUGGGAACGGCAUCCGGAACUGUCAGGCUAGAGUGCAGGAGAGGAAGGUAGAAUUCCCGGUGUAGCGGUGAAAUGCGUAGAGAGCGGGAGGAAUACCAGUGGCGAAGGCGGCCUUCUGGACUGACACUGACGCUGAGGUGCGAAAGCGUGGGUAGCAAACAGGAUUAGAUACCCUAGUAGUC